GGAAUAUUGGACAAUGGGGGCAACCCUGAUCCAGCCAUGCCGCGUGCGUGAAGAAGGCCUUAGGGUUGUAAAGCGCUUUCACUGGUGAAGAUGAUGACGGUAGCCAGAGAAGAAGCCCCGGCUAACUCCGUGCCAGCCGCCGCGGUAAUACGGAGGGGGCAAGCGUUGUUCGGAAUUACUGGGCGUAAAGGGCGCGUAGGCGGAACAUCAAGUUAGGGGUGAAAGGCCCGGGCUCAACCUGGGAACGGCCUCUAAAACUGAUGAUCUUGAGUCCGGAAGAGGAUGGCGGAAUUCCCAGUGUAGAGGUGAAAUUCGUAGAUAUUGGGAAGAACACCAGUGGCGAAGGCGGCUCUCUGGUCCACACCUGACGCUGAGGCGCGAAAGCGUGGGGAGCA
rnacentral:rRNA from 1 species